rnacentral:rRNA from 1 species
UGCCAGCCGCCGCGGUAAUACGGAGGGUGCAAGCGUUGUUCGGAAUUAUUGGGCGUAAAGCGCGUGUAGGCGGUUCGUUAAGUCUGGUGUGAAAGCCCGGGGCUCAACCCCGGAAGUGCAUUGGAAACUGGCGAACUUGAGUACGGGAGAGGAAAGUGGAAUUCUCGGUGUAGCGGUGAAAUGCGCAGAUAUCGAGAGGAACACCAUUAGCGAAGGCGGCUCACUGGGCCGGUACAGACGCUGAGGAGCGAAAGCGUGGGGAGCAAACAGGAUUAGAUA